GCCCGGAUGGCGAAAUUGGCAGACGCGUCAGACUCAAAAUCUGAUACCGCGAGGUGUGUGGGUUCGACCCCCACUCCGGGUACCA
rnacentral:tRNA from 1 species